AAAUAGCCGCAGAAUUUUAACUGUGUUAAGGUAGCAUAAUCAUUAGGUUUUUAAUUAGGAUCUAGAAUGAAAGGUUAAACCUUUAAUGACUUUAAAUUUAAUUACUAAAUUUAAAUUAUAACAGAAAUAAAAAUAUUUCUAUAAAUAAAUAGACGACAAGACCCUAUUGAACUUAACUUUAGUUAAGCUGGGGCAGCUAAUUAAAAAUCAUUUUAAUUAUAAUUUUUAUAUAAAUAUCUAAUAUUAUUAAAUAAACAAGUUACCAUAGGGAUAACAGCGUAAUUUUUUAUAAAAGUUCUUAUUAAAUAUAAAGAUUGCGACCUCGAUGUUGAAUUAUUUACCUAAAUGAAGCAAAAUCUAAAAAGGGGGCC
rnacentral:rRNA from 1 species